rnacentral:misc_RNA from 1 species
UGUUCAGCGUAGGCCGGCAUCGGUUGCCCACGAACAUUCAGCGAGGCGUCCGGCUGCGCCUCAGAUCGAAUUCGAGGAGAUCAUCAUGAUGCGUAAACUCAUUCUCGCAUGCGCAGCAGUCACAGCUCUCGGCGCGGCUGCNGCUGCAUUCACUCCGUCCACUGCUUCCGCCCAUGGAUGGCAUGGCGGAUACGGCUGGCACG